AGCACCUGCUGGAAGACUCAGUUCCUUCCUAAUCCUAACUCUUGCUUGUGGCCUCCUUUUUUUCCUCUCUGGAAAUGUUUAGGAAUUUCUUUUUGUCUGUAAUCCGAGAACUAGCGCAGUGCCCGACACAGAUUAAGUCCUGAGAAAAAAUGCUUGCUGACCUAAACUGAACUGGAGUCAUAGUCCGCAAUUCUGAAAACAGUCCCAUGAGAGCCAAACACAUCAAGAAAAAGAGUGAGAUGGUUCAUUUUUUCAGGCACGAGUCUUGUUUUCGUGGUUGCUUUGUAAGCGAAGUCACUUGCUGCAGUAAGCCCAGAGUGAAAGCCAGAUCAUCUGAGUCCCAAAACAGUGGCCUAUUCAUUAGGUUCCCUGUGUCUCAGGGGCACCAGUGUUUUCUGACAGUAACGUUGGACAGGAGAGCUGCCUUCUUCCAGGGCCACGGAAACCUUCCAAGAGCCUGAACUGGAAUUAAACUUGGCGAGGAUUACUAAAUGCCACUGGUGUUAGACAACUGAAGGUUUCUGCAGCAAGAACAUAAUUCAAGAAAAAUAAAACCGAAUUGUUGGAAAGCACCUACAGUGAGAGCCAUGCAGGAUUCAAACAUCCAAGAAAAGCUUCCCGGAUCUGUGCUGCCCCAGCUGGAGUUGAUCGAAUUGUUUCUAUUCUUUCCUAUUCCUAGGACUACUUCCCUAUAAACUACCUGCUUCUAAGUCCUUGUCUCAAGCUCUGCUUUUGGGGAAACAUAAAUUAAGGACUUUAGAACGCUGUGUAUAUCUAACGAGAACACCAUCCCGAGGCUUUCUUACCCUCAACUCACUGUUUUGAGGCUACUCUGCCACAUUGGUCCUGGCCUUGGGCCCAGUAGUAAUGGUUGACCAGACGAAGGCCAGUAUCA
rnacentral:lncRNA from 1 species